rnacentral:rRNA from 1 species
AGUAUUUUGACUAUACAAAGGUAUUGAAAUAAGGCUUUAAUUGAGUGCUAAAAGAAUGGAAACACAGAAAAAUUCUUUUUUAAACUUAAAAAUUUAAGUUAAUUUUAUUUGUGAAGAAGCAAUAAUAACAAUUAAGGACAAGAAGACCCUAAGAAUUUUAAAAAUUUUUUUAGUUUUUACUAAACUAAUUAAUUUUUUUAAUUGGGGCGAUUAAUAAAUAUAUAAAACUUUAUUUAAAUAAUAAAAUGAACCAAUAAUAUUGGUUGAAUGCAAAAAUACUCUAGGGAUAACAGCGUAAUAAUUUUAGAUAGUUCUUAUAGACAAAAUAGUUUGCGACCUCGAUGUUGGAUUAGGAUUCUUUUUUAAUGAAGAAGUUAAAAAAAGAAGUUUGUUCAACUUUUAAAUUCCUA